UGAGCUUGAUCCCUGGCUCAGAACGAACGCUGGCGGCAGGCUUAACACAUGCAAGUCGAACGCCCCGCAAGGGGAGUGGCAGACGGGUGAGUAACGCGUGGGAAUCUACCCAAUUCUUCGGAACAACUGAGGGAAACUUCAGCUAAUACCGGAUGUGCCCUUCGGGGGAAAGAUUUAUCGGAAUUGGAUGAGCCCGCGUUGGAUUAGCUAGUUGGUGGGGUAAAGGCCUACCAAGGCGACGAUCCAUAGCUGGUCUGAGAGGAUGAUCAGCCACACUGGGACUGAGACACGGCCCAGACUCCUACGGGAGGCAGCAGUGGGGAAUAUUGGACAAUGGGCGCAAGCCUGAUCCAGCCAUGCCGCGUGUGUGAUGAAGGUCUUAGGAUUGUAAAGCACUUUCACCGGAGAAGAUAAUGACGGUAUCCGGAGAAGAAGCCCCGGCUA
rnacentral:rRNA from 2 species